rnacentral:rRNA from 1 species
AGCGAACGCUGGCGGCAGGCCUAACACAUGCAAAUCGAACGGAUCCUUCGGGAUUAGUGGCGGACGGGUGAGUAACACGUGGGAACGUGCCCUUUGGUUCGGAACAACUCAGGGAAACUUGAGCUAAUACCGGAUGUGCCCUUCGGGGGAAAGAUUUAUCGCCAUUGGAGCGGCCCGCGUCUGAUUAGCUAGUUGGUGAGGUAACGGCCCACCAAGGCGACGAUCAGUAGCUGGUCUGAGAGGAUGAUCAGCCACACUGGGACUGAGACACGGCCCAGACUCCUACGGGAGGCAGCAGUGGGGAAUCUUGCGCAAUGGGCGAAAGCCUGACGCAGCCAUGCCGCGUGAAUGAUGAAGGUCUUAGGAUUGUAAAAUUCUUUCAGCGGGGACGAUAAUGACGGUACCCGCAGAAGAAGCUCCGGCUAACUUCGUG